AUUGAACGCUGGCGGCAUGCCUUACACAUGCAAGUCGAACGGCAGCACGGGUGCUUGCACCUGGUGGCGAGUGGCGAACGGGUGAGUAAUACAUCGGAACAUGUCCUGUAGUGGGGGAUAGCCCGGCGAAAGCCGGAUUAAUACCGCAUACGAUCUACGGAUGAAAGCGGGGGACCUUCGGGCCUCGCGCUAUAGGGUUGGCCGAUGGCUGAUUAGCUAGUUGGUGGGGUAAAGGCCUACCAAGGCGACGAUCAGUAGCUGGUCUGAGAGGACGACCAGCCACAGGGGGACAGAGACACGCCCCGGACCCCGGAGGGAGGCAGGAGGGGGGAUUUUGGAACAAUGGGGGAAGGCCGGACCCACAAGGGCGGCGUGUGUGAAGAGGGCUUUGGGUUUGUAAAGCAUUUUUGCCGGAAAAGAACUCCUGGCCCCAAAUAGGGGGGGGGGAGAAGGGAACCGGAGAAAAAGGCCCCGGCAACCUACGGC
rnacentral:rRNA from 1 species